UACGGGGGGGGCAAGCGUUGUUCGGAAUUACUGGGCGUAAAGGGCGCGUAGGCGGCCUGCUAAGUCGGAUGUGAGAUCCCUCGGCUCAACCGAGGAACUGCAUCCGAUACUGGCGGGCUUGAAUCCGGGAGAGGGAUGUGGAAUUCCAGGUGUAGCGGUGAAAUGCGUAGAUAUCUGGAGGAACACCGGUGGCGAAGGCGGCAUCCUGGACCGGUAUUGACGCUGAGGCGCGAAAGCUAGGGGAGCAAACGGG
rnacentral:rRNA from 1 species